AGUUAAAAAAUGCAAAAUGGGAAAUUUUGAUUGACUGUUUAUUAAGCAUAAAUACACAAAUAGAAACAGUGUUUACCCUGUUUAGGGCAAAGGUGGAAUUGUUCACACAUUUUAUCGCUAAUACUCUGAAGUGCUAAGUAUCACAAAAUAGCAAAGGUAUUUUUAGUUAAACAUUAUACAAAACUUUGACCCUGCCCACAUUCCUAAUGCAACACCCCAAUGAGUCACCAUCUCCAUUUAGUUCAGCACUGAUGCAAUUCACAAUGACUAGUCAAGACAACAACAGAAAAAGUCAAAGAAAGUAAAAUCAGUCUUCAACAUUUUUACUACAAGUCAUCAACUGUACAAACUGACAGAAGACAAAACAACUUUAAAUUAUAACCAUGUACAAAAAUGGCAAGGUAAUAUGAAAAUAGUGAAGAUCAGCACACACAUUGUAAUCAUACUUUGAUUUAUCAGAGAAUAUAAAAGUGCCUUAAUACAUUAAACAUGAGUUCUGUGUAAAGGUGUCAUUUUAAAUCAUAUUGCACUUAAUUAAAACAAUACAUUGCCCAGGCA